rnacentral:misc_RNA from 1 species
CACAGAUGACGCAUCGACUGCUGCAAAAGAAGGAUAUAAUUUUCUCGUACGUAUUUGUGUGUUCAAUCAAGAAUUGCGUUUCUAAUUUAUCGAAUUUAAACGUUCAAAAUGAGUUUCCUGACGAAAAUGUUCGGAGGCAAGAAAGAGGAGAAAGGCCCGACAACGCAUGAUGCAAUACAAAAAUUACGUGAAACUGAAGAGUUGUUGAUUAAGAAACAGGAGUUUCUGGAAAAGAAAAUCGAGUUAGAAAUCCAAACAGCUAGGAAACAUGGCACCAAAAAUAAAAGAGCCGCGAUCGCCGCGCUCAAGCGUAAGAAGCGUUAUGAGAAGCAACUCACCCAGAUUGACGGGACGCUCACCCAGAUUGAGGCACAGCGAGAGGCGCUGGAGGGAGCCAAUACUAAUGCCCAGGUGCUCAACACAAUGAAGGAUGCUGCCAAUGCGAUGAAGCUUGCUCACAAGGAUAUCGAUGUGGACAAGGUGCACGACAUUAUGGACGACAUCGCGGAGCAGCACGACAUCUCGCGCGAGAUCACCGACGCGAUCAGCAACAACGUCGCCUUCCCCAACGACAUCGACGAGGACGAACUCGAGAAGGAACUGGAGGAGCUCGAACAGGAGGAUCUCGACAAGGAGAUGCUCGGUAUCAACGUGCCUACAGACACGCUGCCGGAUGUGCCUAGCGCCGAGUUGGUCCACGACAAGCCCAAACCCAGCAGGUCCAAGCAGACAGAGGACGACGAAGAAUUCGCAAAGCUGCAGUCCUGGGCUACAUAGGCUGGUCGUGGUUCGAACACUUGUACGUUGUGAUAUUUUGACGGUAGCGAGUCGAGUGAAGGUUUACUUUUGCGCUGUUAAGCUCAAAUACAAUGUUUUAACCAUGAGUGUAUCAACACACAGAGUUAAGAGAUAGACAGAUACUAUGAUUCUGUGAUUUCAUGGAGUCUAUAACCUCAUAUAGAACAUGUGUAUAUAUGCGCGACUGAGUUUUGGCGCACAUUUACAACUAGAGGACGGAUGCUGAGUGGCUCAAAUUUAAUAAGUGAUUACUUGUACUGUACCAUAUGUGUGUGCGAAAUCGAUUGGUUAUAAAAACACAGUUUUGGUUCACAGGCAUUUCUGUCUAUAUGUCAACGCAGUGAUGUGAUGUAUGAAACUUUAAAAGUGCGUCCAGAUUUAAUGCGCGCUUUGCAUCAAUGGCGCUUAACCCAUUCAUUGUCGAAGACGCGAAUUCGCGUCACGAUACAUCUUAAAUUGUAAUGCAGAUGCGGACUUCGGUAAUGAAUGGGUUUAGUUGCGCAUUAUAACUCCUCGAGUGCCAGACUGAUUUUUGAGUCGUUGGAAUUUUGAUUUUAUUCUAAUUAAUCAA